rnacentral:rRNA from 1 species
CACGUAGGGUGCGAGCGUUGUCCGGAAUUAUUGGGCGUAAAGAGCUCGUAGGCGGUGUGUCGCGUCGGCCGUGAAAACCUGCAGCUCAACUGUGGGCUUGCGGUCGAUACGGGCAUCACUGGAGUUCGGCAGGGGAGACUGGAAUUCCUGGUGUAGCGGUGAAAUGCGUAGAGAUCAUGAGGAAGACCAGUGGCGAAGGCGGGUCUCUGGACAGUUCCUGACGCUGAGGCACGAAGGCCAGGGGAGCAAACGGG